rnacentral:rRNA from 1 species
UACGAAGGGGGCUAGCGUUGCUCGGAAUCACUGGGCGUAAAGAGUGUGUAGGCGGUGCUCUAAGUUCGGUGUGAAAUCUCCUGGCUUAACUGGGAGGGUGCGCCGGAAACUGGGGUGCUCGAGCAUGGGAGAGGAAAGCGGAAUUCCUGGUGUAGCGGUGAAAUGCGUAGAUAUCAGGAGGAACACCUGUGGUGUAGACAGCUUUCUGGACCAUUGCUGACGCUGAGACACGAAAGCGUGGGUAGCAAACAGG